GCGCGAAAACUGCACAAUGACGGAAACGUCGAUGCGGGAACACCAAGUGCCGGCACAUAGUGUCGGCUGUUUGCGAGCCUAAAAAGCUCGGAGAGUAAGGGCUGGGUAAGACGGGUGCCAGCCGCCGCGGUAAUACCUGCAGCCCAAGUGGUGGCCGUUAUUAUUGGGCCUAAAGCGUCCGUAGCCGGCUUCGUAGAUGCCUGUGUAAAUCGAACGGCUCAACCGUUCGAAUUGCGGGUAGACCGCGAGGCUCGGGACCGGGAGAGGUGCGAGGUACUCGGGGGGUAGAGGUGAAAUUCUGUAAUCCUCCGGGGACCACCGGUGGCGAAGGCGUCGCACUUGAACGGCUCCGACGGUGAGGGACGAAGCCCUGGGGCGCAAACCGG
rnacentral:rRNA from 1 species